rnacentral:snRNA from 1 species
AGACUUGAAGUGAAUAGGAUUGUGACAUCUGUCACAGCAUUGAUGGCCAGGACUGAUUCUGCUGAUCUAGCAGGCUAGGCACGGGGGUCCCCUUUCUUCCUCUCAGCUCCAUGUGCAUCCUUCCCAAAGCUGUACACUCGGCAGAAGAGGACAAACUUUCCUGAUAAGGGAGGACCUUUCUUUGGUCAAGGAUAUGUAAGUAGCUGUGCUCCCCUGCUGGAACCUCAAGAUUAGCUCUCAAGGUCCAUUUGUAGGAGACUGGGGGGUCAAGGUUCUGAGACUCCUGCUACAUCCAACUGACGUGCUAAUGUGUAGCCUGCCUUUCUU